rnacentral:rRNA from 1 species
GGGCCCGCACAAGCGGUGGAGCAUGUGGUUUAAUUCGAAGCAACGCGAAGAACCUUACCAGUCCUUGACAUGGGUAGUAUGGAUUUUGGAGACAAUUUCCUUCAGUUCGGCUGGCUACCACACAGGUGCUGCACGGCUGUCGUCAGCUCGUGUCGUGAGAUGUUGGGUUAAGUCCCGCAACGAGCGCAACCCCCAUCUUUAGUUGCCAUCGGUUCGGCCGGGCACUCUAAAGAAACUGCCUGCGAUGAGCAGGAGGAAGGCGGGGACGACGUCAAGUCAUCAUGGCCCUUAUGGACUGGGCUACACACGUGCUACAAUGGCGGUGACAAUAGGCAGCGAAAGGGCGACCUGGAGCAAAUCCUAAAAAGCCGUCCCAGUUCGGAUUGUACUCUGCAACUCGAGUACAUG